GAUGUUGGUGAUGAUGAAAUUCGUCUAGUUAAUAAGUUGACUGAAAGUCACAUAAAUAAAGAAAAAUUAAAAAAAUGAAGGUUAAAUUAGCUGCGCAAGUAUUUAGCCAAAGAGUUUCAUCAGCGCUUCGGUUUUCAGGAAAACAUGGAAUUUUGCCGGCAGAAUGCGAGGGAACCGCUGAUUUUCUUUUAAUAUUCGAUAAAUUAUUUGAUUCUUUUAAAUUUUUAAUUCCUAUCAAGAUGAUUCAAAAUUGUACAAGAGUUGUGUGAAAAAGAAUUCCCCUCACUUCCAACUAUGGGAUGAUUUACUUCCUACAUUAGAAUCAAUUAGAUUUAAAUCAAUCAGUAAAAAAAAAUGGUAUUGAUCAAAUUAAAUAUGAGAUGAUUCCUUCACUAAAGAAUUGGAUACUUAAUAUAAAAACUUUUAAGGAAAUGUGGGAGUAUUUAUCAUCCAAUUAUAAAAUAACAAAUUUAAUCACAAGAAAUUUUAAUCAAGAUCCAUUAGAAAACUUUUUUAGUAGUAUUAGAAGCAAUGGUGUCAGAAAUAUAAAUCCAAAUUGCUAUCGAUUUAUUAAUGCAUAUAAAACAUUGAUUGUUAAUAAUUAUAAUUCACCACAUUCUGCAGGUGCCAAUUGCAGGAAGAUUAUAAUUCAGUUAUGCAAUCAUUAUCAUGUCUAAUCGGAAGCAAUCGGGCUGAUUCAAAUACUGUUGAUUCUGCAUGUAACAUUGAUUCCUUGCUUAAUGUGAUGACAGAAAUAAAAAAGAAUGAUUCUCUAUUGCAUGCUGAAUCGAAAAAAUAUGUAACAGGGUAUGUAAUUAAGAAAUCAAAGACAAAAGUUUUCAAAAGUUGUACUAAUUGUGUGAAUAAUUGUGUAGAUCUAGUGCUGAUUUGGAAUCGUUUAAUUAUGAAAUUGAUUAUACAAAAAGAUCAUUAUUUCACCCAAGUGACAAAUUUAUAGAUUUAAUGAAUAAUAUGUAUUAUGUGAUUGUUGCAUGUCUUCGAAAUAACCCAACAUCAAAAUUUUUAAAGGAUGAAAUCAAGUUUUACAUUGAUUGUGCACGUGAUUUUAAUAUAAUAACUUGUAGGAAACAUAAAGGUGAUUUGAUUGAUUUCAUUAUUAAUCUUUCAAUUAAAUUGAUUGUACAUAGUUGGUGUUUGGGGGUAAAUAGAUUAUUAAAUGGAAAAAUUAGAUGUUUUGAUAGGAAUGACCAAAUCAAAAAGCAAGCAUUUGAUUAUUAUAAUAAGAGAAAAAAAUAAAAGAAAAUAAUAACUUA